UGAACGCUGGCGGCGUGCCUAAUACAUGCAAGUCGAGCGAACAGACGAGGAGCUUGCUCCUCUGACGUUAGCGGCGGACGGGUGAGUAACACGUGGAUAACCUACCCAUAAGACUGGGAUAACUUCGGGAAACCGGAGCUAAUACCGGAUAAUAUAUUGAACCGCAUGGUUCAAUAGUGAAAGACGGUUUUGCUGUCACUUAUAGAUGGAUCCGCGCCGCAUUAGCUAGUUGGUAAGGUAACGGCUUACCAAGGCGACGAUGCGUAGCCGACCUGAGAGGGUGAUCGGCCACACUGGAACUGAGACACGGUCCAGACUCCUACGGGAGGCAGCAGUAGGGAAUCUUCCGCAAUGGGCGAAAGCCUGACGGAGCAACGCCGCGUGAGUGAUGAAGGUCUUCGGAUCGUAAAACUCUGUUAUUAGGGAAGAACAAAUGUGUAAGUAACUAUGCACGUCUUGACGGUACCUAAUCAGAAAGCCACGGCUAACUACGUG
rnacentral:rRNA from 1 species